UACGGGGGGAGCAAGCGUUGUUCGGAUUUACUGGGCGUAAAGGGCGCGUAGGCGGCCACCGCAAGUCAGUUGUGAAAUCUCUGGGCUUAACCCAGAAAGGUCAACUGAUACUGCGGGGCUAGAGUGCAGAAGGGGCAACUGGAAUUCUCGGUGUAGCGGUGAAAUGCGUAGAUAUCGAGAGGAACACCUGCGGCGAAGGCGGGUUGCUGGGCUGACACUGACGCUGAGGCGCGAAAACUAGGGGAGCGAACGGG
rnacentral:rRNA from 1 species